AUACGUAGGGUGCGAGCGUUGUCCGGAAUUACUGGGCGUAAAGAGCUCGUAGGUGGUUUGUCGCGUCGUCUGCGAAAUUCCGGGGCUUAACUCCGGGCGUGCAGGCGAUACGGGCAUAACUUGAGUACGGUAGGGGAGACUGGAAUUCCUGGGGUAGCGGGGAAAUGCGCAGAUAUCAGGAGGAACACCGGUGGCGAAGGCGGGUCUCUGGGCAGUAACUGACGCUGAGGAGCGAAAGCAUGGGUAGCGAACAGGAUUAGAUACCCUGGUAGUCCAUGCCGUAAACGGUGGGCGCUAGGUGUAGGGGUCUUCCACGACUUCUAUGCCGUAGCUAACGCAUUAAGCGCCCCGCCUGGGGAGUACGGUCGCAAGACUGAAACUUAAAGGAAUUGACGGGG
rnacentral:rRNA from 1 species